CGGAUUGAAGGCUGAAAUUCGCCUUCAUGAAGCUGGAAUUGCUAGUAAUGGCAGGUCAGCAUACUGCCGUGAAUACGUUCCCGGGCCUUGUACACACCGCCCGUCACACCAUGAGAGUUGGGAAUACCCGAAGCCUGUGAGCUAACUGUAAGGAGGCAGCAGUCGAAGGUAGAAUCAAUGAUUGGGGUGAAGUCGUAACAAGGUAAC
rnacentral:rRNA from 1 species